rnacentral:rRNA from 1 species
UUGGGCCCGACGUCGCAUGCUCCCGGCCGCCAUGGCGGCCGCGGGAAUUCGAUUCGUAUUACCGCGGCUGCUGGCACGAAGUUAGCCGGGGCUUCUUCUGCGGGUACCGUCAUUAUCUUCCCCGCCGAAAGGGCUUUACAACCCUAGGGCCUUCAUCACCCACGCGGCAUGGCUGGAUCAGGCUUGCGCCCAUUGUCCAAUAUUCCCCACUGCUGCCUCCCGUAGGAGUCUGGGCCGUGUCUCAGUCCCAGUGAGGCUGAUCAUCCUCUCAGACCAGCUACUGAUCGUCGCCUUGGUGAGCCGUUACCUCACCAACUAGCUAAUCAGACGCGGGCCGAUCCUUCGGCGAUAAAUCUUUCCCCGUAAGGGCUUAUUCGGUAUUAGCCCAAGUUUCCCUGGGUUGUUCCGAACCAAAGGGUACGUUCCCACGUGUUACUCUCCCGUCUGCCGCUCCCCUUGCGGGGCGCUCGACUUGCAUGUGUUAGGCCUGCCGCCAGCGUUCGCUCUGAGCCAUGAUCAAACUCUAAUCACUAGUGAAUUCGCGGCCGCCUGCAGGUCGACCAUAUGGGAGAGCUCCCAACGCGU